CCUACGGGAGGCAGCAGUGAGGAAUAUUGGUCAAUGGACGAGAGUCUGAACCAGCCAAGUAGCGUGAAGGAUGACUGCCCUAUGGGUUGUAAACUUCUUUUAUAAAGGAAUAAAACGAGGCACGUGUGCCUUUUUGCAUGUACUUUAUGAAUAAGGAUCGGCUAACGCCGUGCCAGCAGCCGCGGUAAUACGGAGGAUCCGAGCGUUAUCCGGAUUUAUUGGGUUUAAAGGGAGCGUAGAUGGGUUGUUAAGUCAGUUGUUAAAGUUUGCGGCUCAACCGUAAAAUUGCAAUUGAUACUGGCAGUCUUGAGUACAGUUGAGGUAGGCGGAAUUCGUGGUGUAGCGGUGAAAUGCUUAGAUAUCACGAAGAACCCCGAUUGCGAAGGCAGCUUACUAAACUGUGACUGACAUUGAUGCUCGAAAGUGUGGGUAUCAAACAGGAUUAGAUACCCUUGUAGUC
rnacentral:rRNA from 1 species